UGAUUGAUGAUAGCCCUGUGGUGCCAGAGGCAGGCACUGAAAUGAGGUAACUACAAGCCACGGAUGCCAAAGAUUGCCAGCUACCAGCAGAAGCAGAGAGGGAUCAUAUCUAGGGUCUCAGAGGGAGCACCGCCCUGUGGACACCUUGAUUUCAGACUUCCAGCCUCCAGAAUCGUGAGGAUCAGAACAAAAGGAGAGAAAGUCAGUCUUUGAUGGAAGCAUGGCUGAUGGGUCCGCAGGAUGGUGAUUCUUCUUGAAGGAUAGAACUACAAUCCUAAGCCGGAGGUCAAAAUGUGUGCCUCUGGACACAACCUGGGAUGUCAAGGAGGAAAAGCAAGCUGCCUAACCCUCACCUGACACGGGGGCAGAAAGAUUUGGCAGUCGUGCUUGCAGUGAAGGGAAAUGAAGAAUUGUGAAGCACGUCAGCAAGAGCUCAGGAAUUCUACAGUCCUCUCUCCUUCCAACUGAGAUGGUGCAUCAUUUUGAUGUCAAAGUACGUUAUGCCCACAUUCAGGCUUCCUGGUUGGGGGCUUUUAGUAAACCCACGCCUUUCUAACUUUUAUAGUC